rnacentral:rRNA from 1 species
CACUUCUAAGGAAGGCAGCAGGCGCGCAAAUUACCCAAUCCUGACUCAGGGAGGUAGUGACAAGAAAUAACAAUAAACCGGCUUAUGCCGGUUUAAUUGGAAUGAGUACAAUUUAAACAUCCUAACGAGGAACAAUUGGAGGGCAAGUCUGGUGCCAGCAGCCGCGGUAAUUCCAGCUCCAAUAGCGUAUACUAAAGUUGUUGCAGUUAAAAAGCUCGUAGUUGGAUUUCUGUGGGGACGGAGCGGCCGGCCGCAACACGCGGUUCGAGCUAGCGCUUUCCCUACAUCCUGCCGCGAACCGUGCUACCAUUAGUUUGGUGGCGCCGGGGAUCGGCUCGAUUACUUUGAGAAAAAUAGAGUGUUCAAAGCAGGCCACACGCCUUGAAUAAGUUAGCAUGGAAUAAUAACUAAGGACUUCGGUUCUAUUUUGUUGGUGUUCGGGACUGAAGUAAUGAUUGAUAGGGACAGUUGGGGCGGUCUGUAUUCCAAAGCGAGAGGUGAAAUUCUUAGACCUUCGGAAGACAAACAGCUGCGAAAGCGUUCCGCAAGGAUGUUCCCUUUGAUCAAGAACGAAAGUUGGGGGAUCGAAGACGAUCAGAUACCGCCGUAGUCUCAACUAUAAACUAUACCAGCUAGGGAUCGGCCAACGUUAUUCUAUACCGACUUGGUCGGCACCUUAUGAGAAAUCAAAGCAUCUGGGUUCCGGGGGGAGUAUGGUCGCAAGGCUGAAACUUAAAGGAAUUGACGGAAGGGCACCACCAGCCGUGGAGCCUGUGGCUUAAUUUGACUCAACACGGGAAAACUUACCAGGUCCAGACAUAGUAAGGAUUGACAGAUUGAUAGCUCUUUCUUGAUUCUGUGGGUGGUGGUGCAUGGCCGUUCUUAGUUGGUGGAGUGAUUUGUCUGGUUAAUUCCGUUAACGAACGAGACCCCAGCCUGCUAAAUAGCGCGCGUGAGCUUUGCUCGCGGCGAGCUUCUUAGAGGGACUAUGAUGCGCGAUAGCACAUGGAAGUUUGGGGCAAUAACAGGUCUGUGAUGCCCUUAGAUGUUCUGGGCCGCACACGGGCUACACUGGCGCCUGCAACGAGCAUAUCAGCUGGCCCGAGAGGGUCUUGGCUAAUCUUUUGAACCGGCGCCGUGCUUGGGAUUGACCUUUGCAAUUGUUGGUCAUGCAACGAGGAAUGCCUUGUAAACGCGAGUCAUCAGCUCGCAUUGAAUACGUCCCUGCCCUUUGUACACACCGCCCGUCGCUCCUACCGAUGAAUGUUCCGAUGAAAUUUUCGGAGAGUGCCUGUGAACUUGGCUCUGCCUUGCGAACGGGAAGCUCAAAGUCACUUAAAUCUGAACAUUUCGAGG